UAAAAAAAAGCCCUCUACAAUCCACAGAUUUGUUACAAACAUCAAAAGCCGCCAUCAAGCACUUAACGGGGUGUCGGUGCCCUUCCAACAUAGCCAAACAACUGAAAUAAAAAUAUUUAUUAUUUAAUAAAAAAAAAAUUGAAACACGAAUACCUCUUCUCUACUCCUCUCCUCCAGAUCCUAAUUGUUUUGUUAACCGACCCACUGCACACCAAAUGCUUUGUUGUGGCCCCUAAGCACACCCACCAACACCAUAUGUCCACCGCCAUUAGGCCCAUCACCGCCUCUGGAUUCACCAUCUUUCUCCCACAUAAGAAUCAAUCGAUCAGAGGCGGGCACCGAAAUAGAGAACAGAGUCUACAGACCCAUCAGCCAUCACCCAUCGAUGCUUAGAGCCGAGGCUUUAACAGCCGACUUGUGCUUCGUCUCUAACAUAGCCAACACAAUAUCGCUUUAAGUGGAGCAAAACCACUCUAUGCAAGUCGCACUUUUUGAGAUUGCUGAAGUGAUAGCCCAAGCUCCAAAAAAUGCCUCUUAUACAUCACCAACAAUACAAAAAGAAAUUUUACAUAUUUUUUCAACCAAAGUAAGGAGGCAAUUCGCAAAGAAAUUGGUAAUGCAAAUUUUUGCAUAAUUUUUAAUGAAGCUCGUGAUGAGUCAAUGAAAGAGCAAAAUGCUAUAGUUUUAAAAUUUGUCAACAAAGAUGGUUUUGUGCAGGAACUUUUUUGGGGCUUGUUCAUGUCGCUAAUACUGUGGCACUAACCCUACAAAAGGGUAUAUAUUUUGUAUUGUCGCAACAUAAGUUAGCCAUUGAAAAUAUUCAUGGGCAAGGAUAUGACGACGCAAGUAACAUGCGAGGUGGGUGGAAUGGGUUGCAAGCUUUGGUUUCAAAUGAUCGUCCAUAUCCCUACUACAUUCAUUGUUUCGCACAUCGUUGGCAAUUGGCAUUAGUGGUGGCGUCAAAAGAAGUUAUUCAUGUUCAUCAAUUUUUCACUAAGUUGAGUUCUAUUGUCAAUAUUGUUUGUGCCUCAUGCAAUCGAUUUGAAGAAGUUAUGCAUGUUCUGAAAUUGCUUACCUGAUUGAAAUUGAUGAGAUUGAGAGUGGAAGAGGACUUAAUCAAAUUAGUACUUUACAACAGGUUGGAGAUACUCGUUGGAGUUCUUACUUGAGAUCAGUUUCUAGCUUGAUCAAAAAUUUUAGUCCAACUUGUGAAGUUAUUCUUAAAAUCAUUCAUAUGGGAACUACUUCUUCCUAACAAGCAGAAGCAUAUUCAGUUUAUCAAGUAAUGACUUCAUUUGAAUUUGUCUUCAUCUU